UAUUCUGUGGCUUAAUUGGUUAAAGCACCGGACCAGCGAUAUGGGGCCGUGGGUUCGAAUUCCACCAAAACAA
rnacentral:tRNA from 1 species